rnacentral:rRNA from 1 species
UACGGAAGGCAGCAGUGGGGAAUAUUGCACAAUGGGCGCAAGCCUGAUGCAGCCAUGCCGCGUGUAUGAAGAAGGCCUUCGGGUUGUAAAGUACUUUCAGUCGUGAGGAAGGUGUUAAGGUUAAUAACCUUAGCAAUUGACGUUAGCGACAAAAGAAGCACCGGCUAACUCCGUGCCAGCAGCCGCGGUAAUACGGAGGGUGCGAGCGUUAAUCGGAAUUACUGGGCGUAAAGGGCACGCAGGCGGUUAAUUAAGUUGGAUGUGAAAUCCCCGGGCUUAACCUGGGAAUGGCAUUCAAGACUGGUUAGCUAGAGUCUUGUAGAGGGGGUAGAAUUCCAUGUGUAGCGGUGAAAUGCGUAGAGAUGUGGAGGAAUACCGGUGGCGAAGGCGGCCCCUGGACAAAGACUGACGCUCAUGUGCGAAAGCGUGGGGAGCAAACAGGGAUUAGAUACC